AAAGAUAGAGGUUUGACUCCUCUUUUUACCA
rnacentral:tRNA from 1 species